rnacentral:lncRNA from 1 species
GUUGGAAGUGGGGGCUGCUUACCAUCAGAGCAACCCCUCUUGUCUCUUAAUAAGAACAAAGAGAUCGACAGAAUUCGGAACGGGGUUGUGUGCGGCUGUCCAUUCUUUUUGGAAUUUUCCUUGAAGCUGCCGUUUUUUGUUGCUUUAGAGUUGUAGGAAUUGAAAAUUUAGGUCAUGCUUUUUAUAAUAGGGUAUUUUAUAUAAAUGUGGAAAAGGAUGAUGACCAUUGAACUAGAGAGAAAUAAAUUGCAAGGACUAAAUCUUGCACUUAAGUGUGCUAAUGAAUCGGGAAGAAUAG